UGGGGAAUAUUGGACAAUGGGGGCAACCCUGAUCCAGCCAUGCCGCGUGUGUGAAGAAGGCCUUUUGGUUGUAAAGCACUUUAAGCAGUGAAGAAGACUCCAUGGUUAAUACCCAUGGACGAUGACAUUAGCUGCAGAAUAAGCACCGGCUAACUCUGUGCCAGCAGCCGCGGUAAUACAGAGGGUGCAAGCGUUAAUCGGAAUUACUGGGCGUAAAGCGAGCGUAGGUGGCUUGAUAAGUCAGAUGUGAAAGCCCCGGGCUUAACCUGGGAACGGCGUCUGAUACUGUUAGGCUAGAGUAGGUGAGAGGAAGGUAGAAUUCCAGGUGUAGCGGUGAAAUGCGUAGAGAUCUGGAGGAAUACCGAUGGCGAAGGCAGCCUUCUGGCAUCAUACUGACACUGAGGUUCGAAAGCGUGGGUAGCAAACA
rnacentral:rRNA from 1 species